rnacentral:rRNA from 1 species
GACGGAGGAUGCGAGCGUUAUUCGGAAUCAUUGGGCGUAAAGAGUGCGUAGGCGGCCGGUUAAGUCAGGCGUGAAAGCCCAGGGCUCAACCGUGGAAGUGCGUUUGAAACUGGCUGGCUUGAGUGUGGGAGAGGGACGCGGAAUUCCCGGUGUAGAGGUGAAAUUCGUAGAUAUCACGAGGAACAUCGGUGGCAAAGGCGGCUUCCUGGGCCGAAACUGACGCUGAGACGCGAAAGCGUGGGGAGCAAACAGG